rnacentral:misc_RNA from 1 species
UACGAGUGAGGGCCUCUGGGUCCAACUCCCACCCAUGUUUAUUGUACCUUGUUGCUUCGGCGGGCCCGCCUCACGGCCGCCGGGGGGCUUCUGCCCUCUGGCCCGCGCCCGCCGAAGACACCAUUGAACACUGUCUGAAGAUUGCAGUCUGAGCAAUUAGCUAAAUAAGUUAAAACUUUCAACAACGGAUCUCUUGGUUCCGGCAUCGAUGAAGAACGCAGCGAAAUGCGAUACGUAAUGUGAAUUGCAGAAUUCAGUGAAUCAUCGAGUCUUUGAACGCACACUGCGCCCCCUGGUAUUCCGGGGGGCAUGCCUGUCCGAGCGUCAUUGCUGCCCUCAAGCACGGCUUGUGUGUUGGGCUUCCGUCCCUGGUAACGGGGACGGGCCCAAGAGGCAGUGGCGGCACCAUGUCUGGUCCUCGAGCGUAU